rnacentral:rRNA from 1 species
AGAGUUUGAUCCUGGCUCAGAUUGAACGCUGGCGGCAUGCUUUACACAUGCAAGUCGAACGGCAGCACGGGGGCAACCCUGGUGGCGAGUGGCGAACGGGUGAGUAAUACAUCGGAACGUAUCCUUGAGUGGGGGAUAACGCAGCGAAAGUUGUGCUAAUACCGCAUGAGCUCUGAGGAGGAAAGUGGGGGACCGUAAGGCCUCACGCUGAAGGGGCGGCCGAUGUCCGAUUAGCUAGUUGGUGAGGUAAAGGCUCACCAAGGCUUCGAUCGGUAGCUGGUCUGAGAGGAUGAUCAGCCACACUGGGACUGAGACACGGCCCAGACUCCUACGGGAGGCAGCAGUGGGGAAUUUUGGACAAUGGGGGCAACCCUGAUCCAGCCAUGCCGCGUGAGUGAAGAAGGCCUUCGGGUUGUAAAGCUCUUUCGUGAGGGAAGAAACGGCCAUAGUGAAUAGCUGUGGUUACUGACGGUACCUCAAGAAGAAGCACCGGCUAACUACGUGCCUGCCGCCGCGGU